UACAGAGGUCCCAAGCGUUGUUCGGAUUCACUGGGCGUAAAGGGUGCGUAGGCGGUCGGGUAAGUCUGAUGUGAAAUCUCACAGCUUAACUGUGAAACUGCAUUGGAUACUAUCCGGCUAGAGGAAUGGAGGGGAGACUGGAAUACUUGGUGUAGCAGUGAAAUGCGUAGAUAUCAAGUGGAACACCAGUGGCGAAGGCGGCUCGCUGGAUCUCUUCUGACGCUGAGGCGCGAAAGCCAGGGGAGCAAACGGG
rnacentral:rRNA from 1 species